ACAAUUUUCUUAUCCUUCAAUUUCAUUUUAGCCUCUGCUUAACUUCUUGUUUCUGUCGUUCUUUGACUCUCAUCGGAGGUGCAGAUGGCUAAUCUCUCAGGGUUUUCUUCUAUAGAAUUGUGUAGAUCGCUUCUCGAUCUACAUGUUGACGGGGGAUUUGUGUAUAUUGAACCGAGUCCUACUUUAAAUCUCGGCCGUGACCAGACGGGAUAAAUGUUUUCAGAUCUCGAUGUGGAGAUCUUGAUUCGCAGAUUCUUCCCUCAAUUCCCACUCGUCGUUGAUUUUAUUAGAUCUAUCAUCUGAAUUUCGAGUCUUUCGUCUCCUUAAGUUUCCAUCGGACUUCGAAAUCUCGACUGUUAACUGAUUAUUGGAUGACCGUGAUACCGAUCUUGACUCUAUAGUUGGAUACGUUGUUUGCUCUUAUACUGUAGAUUGCAGGUGCAGCGUUCGCGCGCGCUGUGGAUCCUUUGGUUGAUUGAUGUUUUCGUGAUCACCGAAGAGAUUGAUUCUGGUUCGGAUCUGAGCAAUAUAGAUAUGUAACUAGCACGAACUGAUCUCGUAUUGAGGUUGUGCUGUUUGUAUCUAGCAAAAAUUUGGGAUCUCCCUUCGUUCUUGAGGAUUAAUUUCGAUUUGGAUGUAGAAGAUAUCAAGAUGAAGGUGUCCUAAUGUUAGCGUAAAAUCUUUGUCAUCCGACCUUUGCCAUGACAGGUGCGCUUGCAUGGCAGGUCACCCCUAUACUUAAUAAAAAUUUCUGUUUUCUGUUUAGAGGGGAGAUCGCACGGGGAUUGCCCGGGAUCUCUCCUCGCGUGUUUGCUCGUUUGCCUUUGUGGCGGUGAUUUUUUGGCCGAUCCAUCUCCUGUCUCAACAGCAAUAUCCACGGUCCUUCAUAUACAAAUGCAAUGAAUUCUAGUCCAUCAUCACCGGCAAAGAAUAGAAGGUAUCUUCAACAUCCGACACAGUCUUCCAAUACUUUUCAGUUGCAUAUUUUAUCAUUUUGAUAUUAAAUUUCGCUAGCCUGCAAUUAAGAGGAAAGAAAAGUCACCUGGAUGGUUCGAAAACAUUAAUUCGCUCAUAAUGUUUAAUUCGUAAGUAAUUAAUUUUGCUGCAAUGGUUUUACUUGACAGUUUAUAUCCUAGAGAAGUUCAUAAGAACGGUGUUUAAAGAUUUAUCAUUGUAAGGCAGAAAUUGGAUUAUUCAUUAUUUAAUUGUUCUAGUAUAAUUUGUUCAUGUUUUUCCUUCGUAUACAGCAAUUUUCUGUGUGUUCCAAACAAUUUUGGAGCCGUUCUGUGUGGUGUUUGUUUUAGUAACUAUUAAUAAAGUAAUCAAGAUCUCUAUACACUGGAGGAUUUGUUACUUAUUUUAGAUUUUAGAUUGUGAUUGUUCCCGUUGAUCUUUUUUAGUUUUUUGUAAAAAUAUCUGAACUUCAAUUUCCUGAGUUCUUUAUCUAUGUACGAGAACGUUGGGUUCUAAUGGUAUGUUGAGCUUAAGACGUUUUCAUUGGUACUGUGUGUCCGUGUCGGCUUAACUGCUGUUGGCCUUCUCUGCUGAAUUUGAAGAAGUUUUUUACACGGUGCUCCUAUAUUGACGAGGUGGCGAUGGCUUAUAUCUGUACCAUUCAAGCUUUUGUUAACCUUUAUGAAAUAAGGUUUGUUUU